GAUGAACGCUAGCGGCAGGCUUAACACAUGCAAGUCGAGGGGUAACAUAGGUGCUUGCACUUGAUGACGACCGGCGAACGGGUGCGUAACGCGUAUAGAAUUUGCCUUGUACAGGAGGAUAGCCUUUAGAAAUGAAGAUUAAUACUCCAUAGUAUUAUGAAUUGGCAUCAAUUUAUAAUUAAACAUUUAUGGGUACAAGAUGACUAUGCGUUCUAUUAGCUAGAUGGUAAGGUAACGGCUUACCAUGGCAACGAUAGAUAGGGGGUCUGAGAGGACUAUCCCCCACACUGGUACUGAGACACGGACCAGACUCCUACGGGAGGCAGCAGUGAGGAAUAUUGGACAAUGGAGGCAACUCUGAUCCAGCCAUGCCGCGUGCAGGAAGACUGCCCUAUGGGUUGUAAACUGCUUUUAUACAGGAAGAAACUGUUUCACGUGUGAAACACUGACGGUACUGUAAGAAUAAGGACCGGCUAACUCCG
rnacentral:rRNA from 1 species